AUUGAACGCUGGCGGCAGGCCUAAAACAUGCAAGUCGAACGAGUGGCGGACGGGAGAGUAAUGUCUGGGAAACUGCCUGAUGGCGGGGGAUACCUCCUGGAAACGGUAGUUAAUACCGCAUACCAUCGGAUGUGCCCAGAUGGGAUUUGCUAGUAGGUGGGGUAAAGGCUCACAUAGGCGACGAUCCCUCGCUGGUCUGAGAGGAUGACCGGCCACACUGGAACUGAGACACGGUCCAGACUCCUACGGGAGGCAGCAGUGGGGAAUAUUGCACAAUGGGCGCAAGCCUGAUGCAGCCAUGCCGCGUGGAUGAAGAAGGCCUUCGGGUUGUAAAGUACUUUCAGCGGGGAGGCGUUACCCGCAGAAGAAGCACCGGCUAACUCCGUGCCAGCAGCCGCGGUAAUUC
rnacentral:rRNA from 1 species